rnacentral:rRNA from 1 species
CCUACGGGGGGCUGCAGUGGGGAAUAUUGGACAAUGGGCGAAAGCCUGAUCCAGCCAUGCCGCGUGUGUGAAGAAGGCCUUCGGGUUGUAAAGCACUUUCAGUGGGGAAGAAAGCCUUGGGGCUAAUACCCUCGAGGAAGGACAUCACCCACAGAAGAAGCACCGGCUAACUCCGUGCCAGCAGCCGCGGUAAUACGGAGGGUGCGAGCGUUAAUCGGAAUUACUGGGCGUAAAGCGCGCGUAGGCGGUCUGAUAAGCCGGUUGCGAAAGCCCCGGGCUCAACCUGGGAACGGCAUCCGGAACUGUCAGGCUAGAGUGCAGGAGAGGAAGGUAGAAUUCCCGGUGUAGCGGUGAAAUGCGUAGAGAUCGGGAGGAAUACCAGUGGCGAAGGCGGCCUUCUGGACUGACACUGACGCUGAGGUGCGAAAGCGUGGGUAGCAAACAGGAUUAGAUACCCCAGUAGUC